UAGGGAAUCUUCGGCAAUGGGGGGAACCCUGACCGAGCAACGCCGCGUGAGUGAAGAAGGUUUUCGGAUCGUAAAGCUCUGUUGUUAAGGAAGAACGAGUGUGAGAAUGGAAAGUUCAUGCUGUGACGGUACUUAACCAGAAAGGGACGGCUAACUACGUGCCAGCAGCCGCGGUAAUACGUAGGUCCCGAGCGUUGUCCGGAUUUAUUGGGCGUAAAGCGAGCGCAGGCGGUUAGAAAAGUCUGAAGUGAAAGGCAGUGGCUCAACCAUUGUAGGCUUUGGAAACUGUUUAACUUGAGUGCAGAAGGGGGGAGUGGAAUUCCAUGUGAGGCGGUGAAAUGCGAAGAUAUAUGGAGGAACACCGGUGGCGAAAGCGGCUCUCUGGUCUGUAACUGACGCUGAGGAUCGAAAGCGUGGGGAGCGAACAGG
rnacentral:rRNA from 1 species